rnacentral:rRNA from 1 species
AUUGAACGCUGGCGGCAGGCCUAACACAUGCAAGUCGAGCGGUAGCACAGAGAGCUUGCUCUCGGGUGACGAGCGGCGGACGGGUGAGUAAUGUCUGGGAAACUGCCUGAUGGAGGGGGAUAACUACUGGAAACGGUAGCUAAUACCGCAUAACGUCGCAAGACCAAAGUGGGGGACCUUCGGGCCUCAUGCCAUCAGAUGUGCCCAGAUGGGAUUAGCUAGUAGGUGGGGUAACGGCUCACCUAGGCGACGAUCCCUAGCUGGUCUGAGAGGAUGACCAGCCACACUGGAACUGAGACACGGUCCAGACUCCUACGGGAGGCAGCAGUGGGGAAUAUUGCACAAUGGGCGCAAGCCUGAUGCAGCCAUGCCGCGUGUGUGAAGAAGGCCUUCGGGUUGUAAAGCACUUUCAGCGGGGAGGAAGGCGAUAAGGUUAAUAACCUUGUCGAUUGACGUUACCCGCAGAAGAAGCACCGGCUAACUCCGUGCCAGCAGCCGCGGUAAUACGGAGGGUGCAAGCGUUAAUCGGAAUUACUGGGCGUAAAGCGCACGCAGGCGGUCUGUCAAGUCGGAUGUGAAAUCCCCGGGCUCAACCUGGGAACUGCACUCGAAACUGGCAGGCUAGAGUCUUGUAGAGGGGGGUAGAAUUCCAGGUGUAGCGGUGAAAUGCGUAGAGAUCUGGAGGAAUACCGGUGGCGAAGGCGGCCCCCUGGACAAAGACUGACGCUCAGGUGCGAAAGCGUGGGGAGCAAACAGGAUUAGAUACCCUGGUAGUCCACGCCGUAAACGAUGUCGAUUUGGAGGUUGUGCCCUUGAGGCGUGGCUUCCGGAGCUAACGCGUUAAAUCGACCGCCUGGGGAGUACGGCCGCAAGGUUAAAACUCAAAUGAAUUGACGGGGGCCCGCACAAGCGGUGGAGCAUGUGGUUUAAUUCGAUGCAACGCGAAGAACCUUACCUGGUCUUGACAUCCACAGAACUUUCCAGAGAUGGAUUGGUGCCUUCGGGAACUGUGAGACAGGUGCUGCAUGGCUGUCGUCAGCUCGUGUUGUGAAAUGUUGGGUUAAGUCCCGCAACGAGCGCAACCCUUAUCCUUUGUUGCCAGCGGUCCGGCCGGGAACUCAAAGGAGACUGCCAGUGAUAAACUGGAGGAAGGUGGGGAUGACGUCAAGUCAUCAUGGCCCUUACGACCAGGGCUACACACGUGCUACAAUGGCAUAUACAAAGAGAAGCGACCUCGCGAGAGCAAGCGGACCUCAUAAAGUAUGUCGUAGUCCGGAUUGGAGUCUGCAACUCGACUCCAUGAAGUCGGAAUCGCUAGUAAUCGUAGAUCAGAAUGCUACGGUGAAUACGUUCCCGGGCCU